CCUACGGGUGGCAGCAGGGAGGAAUAUUGGUCAAUGGGCGCGAGCCUGAACCAGCCAAGUAGCGUGAAGGAUGACUGCCCUACGGGUUGUAAACUUCUUUUAUAAAGGAAUAAAGUGAGGCACGUGUGCCUUUUUGGAUGGACGUUAUGAAUAAGGAUCGGCUAACUCCUUGCCAGCAGCCGCGGUAAUACGGAGGAUCCGAGCGUUAUCCGGAUUUAUUGGGUUUAAAGGGAGCGUAGAGGGGUUGUUAAGUCAGUUGUUCAAGUUUGCGGCUCCACCGUAAAAUUGCACUUGAUACUGGCAGUCUUGCGUACCGUUGAGGUCGGCGGUAUUCGUGGUGUCGCGGUGAACUGCUUAGAUAUCACG
rnacentral:rRNA from 1 species